rnacentral:rRNA from 1 species
UACGUAGGGGGCUAGCGUUGUCCGGAAUCAUUGGGCGUAAAGAGCGUGUAGGCGGUCCUGUAAGUCCGCUGUGAAAGUCGGGGGCUCAACCCUCGAAUGCCGGUGGAUACUGUCGGGCUAGAGUGCGGAAGAGGCGAGUGGAAUUCCUGGUGUAGCGGUGAAAUGCGCAGAUAUCAGGAGGAACACCGAUGGCGAAGGCAGGUCUCUGGGCCGAUACUGACGCUGAGGAGCGAAAGCGUGGGGAGCGAACAGG